AAAUGAAUACAUAAUAAAUAAUUAACAGUAAAUACUUAAGGAAGGGAAGAAAAGAAAGUAUGUGUGAAUCCUCGGGGACGGUAUCAAAGAUGCUCAUGUUUGCUGAGGGAGACUGCCGACUAUUUCUGUGAGCCACUGAGAUUACUUUUCUAGCAAAUAAACAUUCCCCAGGUAUUGUCUGUAAGAUGCCUCGUGUAUUAUGGAUGCUGGAACGAUGAAUCCCACCCCUGAGGCUGUCCAUCCACAGCAGGGGGUCAGCUCAGAGAUUUGCUGCAGUGAGUUCUGAUUAACUAUGCCCUAUCUUCUCUUGCUCCCGUGGUAUGACGGUCCAGUGCCACUCUAAACGGGCAACACUGCUGACAAAUGACGGAAUGUGGCGAGUGUUGGCAUCAGCUGGAGGCAGCUCCGUGUAAGGAAAGGCCGCGCCCACUGAGCUGUGAUGAGCAGGCGGGAGGCCUGCACUUGUCUCCAAGUGUGAUAACAAAAUACAUAUUUGUGUCUUUGUCCUAGACUCCUAUCAUAGAGCUCCUAAAAAACUUGAUGACCUUGAUAUUCUCUAAGUGGUAGGAGUGCUUUGGGCAUGCUAAUGAGAUGACUGAUGGCAGCUUCAGGACAGGGCUGCUCCCCAGAGGAACCCCUUGACAAGAGGCUGCAACUUUCAGCUCAUCUCUGAACAUCUGGGAAGGGGCGGGGACCUGGGCAUUGAGCUAAUCACCAGUGGUCAUGAUUCAAUUAGCUAUGUCUACAUGGAGCCUCCAGAGAAACUUCUAGAACACAGGCCCAGGUUUUCGUGUUGGUUAGCGCCCAGAGGCAUACCCAGAAGGGUGUACGGAAGGUCUGUGUCCCUCCUCCAUAGCUCACCCUCCGUAUCUCUUUCCUGCAGUUGCUCCUGAGCUGCUUUAUAAUACACUGGCAAUCAUCACGUGGAACACUUCCCUGAAUCUGGAGUUCACAGCUAAUUGUUCGGAAGGACAGAUGACCUGGACCAGCGGCUGGAGUCAGAAGUGAGGCGCUCCUUCAGUCUUUCCUAAGCUGGUGUACCUGUGCUGACUCCAAGUAGCUAAUAUCUUAGACAAAGGUGAGUCAUUCAGAGAAAGAAGCUGCGGUUCCUAUCAGCAAGGAUCAUUCUGGCCUGCCUGGAACCAUCGUCAGCAGAACCCCUGAACUCUCUAAAGUGACUGGGGUUGGAUGAUGUGUCGUGAGUCAUUCUACUUAGCAGUGGCCUAAUGACUGUCACAGAACACGGUCAGAACUCCUGUGCUUGGGGUUUCUGAUUCUCCUUUCUAGGGACCUGGACAAAGGCAGCUUUGGAGUGCUGAAUAAAUCUCAAUGAUGUCUUUACAGUUCCUCCAUCCUCUGUCUUCCCACUCUUCCUGGAGGCUCAGCAGCAUUCUUCAAGUGGCUUCUCUCAUGAUGACUGCAGUGUCCUCCGUCUCAGAGCUGCAUAACGCACAUCUGGAGGGAGAGACAGUCUCCUGGAGACUCUCUGUCUACAUGUCUCAGCCCAGAUGGGCCAUAGGCUGUUGCUGACCCCAAGCUGUGAUAUCCCAAUCCAGACUUGGUGCUUGAACUGUGUUCAGGAACUGAAACAGACUCCACCCCCAGGAAGUAGACUAAGGAGGGCGCUGCUGGGGACAGCCCGCAUCUUACAAUGCACCAGGUAGAGACACCUCCAGGAAGGAGGAAGAGGAUGAACCUCAGAAGUACCAUCAAGCUGCCCAGCCCAGGACAGCAAGAUACCCUGGUCUGCUAUUGCUGAACUCGGGGGAGACCAUUCAUUUCAGAGAGCAGGGUUUUGUGAUCAGUGGCUUUCUCUGGAAGUUUCUGCACCUGUCCCACUAUGAUUUUGCCCCCAGGUCUCAUGGGAGGAUACACCUCAGAGUCUCUGACUUCUGGGACAAAGGCAAAGAACUCAAGGGCAACUAUUUCCUGAUGUAACCCUUCACAACCAGAAACACUCACUUUUGGCCACAGUGCUAUGGCUCUAGAGGCCAUCAUCUAAAAUCUCACAUCUAGAACGAUAAAAAGAGGGGAGGGGGCUUCUUCAGAAGUUCCCGAAACAAGACUAACUACCGGCUCCAUGCUGGUCCAUGUGUCCCUACAGCUGUGGAUUGAGACUCUUGGCUGAAACAGGCCCUAUCCAGCCUCAGUCACUUGUCUGAGAUCUAAUGUCUCAAGAAAACAUUUAGGAGGUGCCUAUUGUAUGUGAGCACUCCUGCUAGGAGCUAGGAGAUGUUUCAGUGGAAGCUCCAACCCAAGCCCCCCUUCAAACCCUACCUCCUCUGAGAAAGUCUGCCAAGUGGUAGCUCCUCCCUCUGAGAUUCUCAAUAUGACACUUACAGGGUAUUUAAGACCCUGUCCUUUGUCCUUGGUCCUUAGACCUGGCACUAAGUUUCUUUCCUGACUUUCUCAAGAGUCACCCAGGAGUUUCUUUGCUCUGUUUAUUAAACCUGGUUUUAUUA